UAAACACUAAAAUCUAAACUCUAAACCCCUAAGUAUUAUACACACAAUCUUAAACUCUAAACCCCAAAUCCUAAACCCUAAACCCUAAACACCAAACUCUAAAUCCGAAUCUCUAAACACAAAUCCUAAAAUCUAAUCCCUUAAUUCAAAAUCCUAAACCCUAAACCCGAAACCCUGACCCCUAAACCCUAAACACCAAACUCUAAAACCUAAACACAAAAUCCUAAUCUCCAAUCCCUAAAUUCUAGACCCUAAACUCUCAACCCUAAACUCUAAAUACAAAUCCCUGAACACUAAACCCUAAUCCAUAAAAAGUAAAUUCUAAACCCUAAAUCCUAAACACUAAACUCUAAACCCUAAACACCAAACUCUACACCCUAAACACGAAAUCCUAAACUCCAAUCCCGAAAUUCUAAACCCUAAUCCCUUAACCCUAAACUCUAAACCUUGAACACUAAACCCAAAACACUUCACUCUAAUUCUCUAACAAUAAACUCUAAACCCUAAACCCUAAACCCU
rnacentral:lncRNA from 1 species